rfam:Gossypium arboreum cultivar AKA8401 contig_14919_7, whole genome shotgun sequence.
AAUCCAUGGUGAGGACACGUUCGCAAUAGGUCCUUGUAUCUCCCCCAUGCAUCGUAAAGAGUUUCUAUGUUCAUCUGUACGAACGAAGAGAUAUCAUUACGUAAUU